ACAAACAAUCAUUUUACUUAAAAAAAUUUGGCGUCUUUUUAUUACCAAAUUCCCUCUCCUUUCGAAACCCUAAAAUUUCCCCCUAAAAUUGGUAUCCUCAAAACUCCCUUUUCACACACGCCGUUUUCAUCAGUUUACCUUGGAACCCAUACGAUCCCUUCCCCUUUCCCUUUCCCUUUCCCUUUCCCUUUAGUUUUGAAAAAACCCAUACGAUACCUUGGAACCAAAUGCAGCAAUUAAUCACAGGGGAUAACUUGUUUAGCAUAGUAAAAAAUAUGGAAUCGAAGUUUUGGAUCCUUAUUUAGGAAGGCUACAGAACCAAAAGCUCACAAAUCCUGUUAGUAUUCAUGGAGAUCUUGAAUCUAGCAGGGGAGCUGAGAUUUGCAACAACAUACAAGUAAUGAGGUUUUAAGGGCUCUAUUGUCUCCUCAAUCUAAGGUGUCAGGAGGAAGGUAUUUUCGUCCUGGUAUGGUGGCUUUACCACAGGAUUCCCUGAAUGUGCCCCAGAAUGCAAAGCCUACAACCAAUGGUAAUCAUUCUAAAGGGCAUGCAGGUGAAGUUCGAAGUGCAGAAAAUGGAAGAGUGGGUUCCAUCUAUCAGGAGCAAAUAGAACCAUGUCAUCUAAGUUCAUCGAUCUACUAUGGUGGCCAAGACAUAUACAUUCGGUCCUGCAGUGACCAGGACUCUGGAUUGAACGAUGAUAGUGAAGGAGAUCAAUCGAGGUAUGCAUCAAUAGGAAAUUAGUGGGAAGGAUCUGUCUAUUAUUGAGAGUUCACUUGCCAAUCUACGUGCAUAUCAAGGUACAUAAGGAAGAUACAGAUAGCAGUUCGAUCUGUUUCUAGCUACAUACAUGGAACUGGACUACAGUAAUCAGACAUUGUGGACAGCACUAUAAUUAUUUGGCUCCCUUCUUCGACUUGAAGGAUGAGACUUGUUUUUUUCUUUUCUUUCUUUUAAUUCUGUUAAGCAUAUCUACUUAAGUGACUUCUUGAUAUACUUUGGCUUACAGGUGCAUACUUUGGCUUUGAAGGUCGUAUAAGUGUUUAAUAAAGAGAAAACCAUUUUAUGUGUUAAAUGCUGAAAAUUUAGGUGUUAAAUGCUGCAAUUUAUGGUGUCUGAAAGUUGUGAUUUAUGAUAUUCGAAUGAUGUAUUUUAAGUUGUUUGAAUGUGUUAAAGAGUUGAUUUAAUAUAAUGCUUAAUAGUUGUUUAUUGUUGUUCAAAGCAUGAUGAAAUAAACAUGUUACUAUGCUUAAUGUAUUUUAAGACUGUUACUAUGUUUCUUCUGGCUAUUACAAGUCUGAUUCAAAUUCUCAGGGUCGUAGCAGCAUAGUGCAGUCUUGGAGACUGCUGCUAAUGCAGGACCAUUAUGUUUCAUCUUACUGACCUGUUUAUGUCGCUUUGAGCCUUUAGCAUUGCUUGAUUUCUGUCCUAUUGUCCUUGAGACUAAAGGGAGAGGAAUUUGAGUCUUCUAUAUAUAUCUGAUGCAAUGUUUUAUGCUGUUUAUCUUGUCUCAUUUGUUAUGUCCUAUGUGUAGCUUUGCAUAUUCUCAUAGAAAUUUGUUUGGAAGAAACCAAAAGCUUAAUAUUUCCUUAGAAAGGGGCCAAAUCGACUCUAUAUUCCGCAUUAACUAUACAGACCCAUGGAUUGAAGGAGAUGAUAAGAGGAUAUCUAGAACAAUAAUUAUCCAGAAUUCAAGAACCCCAGGCACACUUGUGCAUGGUAACCAACAUAACAAUAGCAGUCUGAGCAUUGGCCGUGUAACAGCUGGUAUUGAGUUUAGUCGAGCACUGAGGCCAAAAUUAUUUCCACAGCUAUCGUUCUGAGGCACUACAGCUUCAGUCAGGUGACCGAGAUUCCGUUUAACAAUUUUCUUUAUUGCUGGAACAAGUCUUAACCAAGAUCAAGAUCAAAGAACUUCACUAAGUUAUAUAUGCAGGCAUUGCAAUGAGAGGUGAUGAUGAUUUGGCAUUAUAUUCUCACCAGGAUGAAUUUUGUUUUAGAAAUUGUAAUACUUUGUGUGUUUCUUUUAUGUAUUAAAUUACAUAUUGAAUCAAUGUUUAUGUAUUAAAUUUAAAUUCAUUAAUUUUUAUAUUUAGUUUUGAAGUUUAAAUUUUAAUGGAAAA